UACGUAGGGUGCAAGCGUUAAUCGGAAUUACUGGGCGUAAAGCGUGCGCAGGCGGUUUUGUAAGUCUGUCGUGAAAGCCCCGGGCUCAACCUGGGAAUUGCGAUGGAGACUGCAAGGCUUGAAUCUGGCAGAGGGGGGUAGAAUUCCACGCGUAGCAGUGAAAUGCGUAGAGAUGUGGAGGAACACCGAUGGCGAAGGCAGCCCCCUGGGUCAAGAUUGACGCUCAUGCACGAAAGCGUGGGGAGCAAACAGG
rnacentral:rRNA from 1 species